AGAAUAGAAGGUCUCUUCCUGUUCAGAACAGCAACCUUAUAUGCACCAGCUGUUUCAUUUCCAUCAGCUGGACGAAGCAUCAAAACAUUAGGCAUUGCACGGAAGCUUGCCAAGUGUUCAAUUGGCUGGUGGGUUGGUCCAUCUUCCCCAAGACCAAUGGAAUCAUGGGUCAUAACAUAGAUAACUCCUGCUUCACACAAGGCAGAAAUCCUAAUGGCAGCUCUCAUGUAGUCAGUGAAGACAAAGAAUGUAGCACAGUACGGAAUGAAGCCCGGGCUGUGAAGGGCAAUGCCAUUGCAGAUGGCUCCCAUUCCAUGUUCCCUAACACCAAACCUAACAUUGCGCUCCUCAGGGGUGUCCUUCUGGAAAUCACCAUACAUUUUGAGCAAGGUCAUGUUGGAAGAAGCAAGGUCAGCACUUCCACCAAGAAGGCCAGGGUGUACUUUUACAAGGGCAUUGAGAUUUUGUUGAGAGAGAUUUCUGGUAGCAUCAGCUGGGCUCUCUGGAGUGUAUGUCUGGAAAGUGCACAAAAAACAGGGCUCAAAAUAUAGACUUACAUUCCACUUUAAUCAGACUGUAUUAGUCCCAUGAAAGAGAACAACUAAGAAUUAAGGUGUCAAAACAUAUUUAGCAAGGACAAUAAAGGUUGCUCACUGGAAGUGCCUUCUCCCAACCAGCUGGUAGUUCACCAGUGAUGAUUGCCUUGAGCUCAGCAGCUUCCUCUUUAUACUUCUGCUCAUAUUCAGCGAACUUGGCAUUCCAUUCACCUUCAAGAGCAGCACCCUGAGGGGUAUGGCGACUCCAGUGACUGCAGAAAAUGGAAAGAAAGUUUUGAACACUAAACCAAAAAGCAUAAUCAGAUGCAUAUACAGAAACCCCAAGAGAUCUCCUUACGCUUUAACAUCUUCUGGUACAUGGAAAGGCUCAUAUGGCCAUCCAAGGUUUUUCCUAGUAGCAUCAACUUCCUUGGCACCCAGUGCACUCCCAUGUACGCUAUAUGAGUUUGCCUUGUUAGGAGACCCAUAACCAAUGGUGGUUGUCACCUGAAAGGAAAAAAAGGAAUUUAAUAAACAUGACAGUUUGAACCACACAGUAGAGAGAUAAUAAGGUUGAAUAAGUAAUUAAGUAGAGAGAUGCAAGCUUUUUCAGUUUUCAAUUAAGGCAUUCUAAUAUGAUGCAGGCCUUUUCAACGAAAGGUUUAGUAGAGAAGUCAGUUUACCUAAGAAAUAUGGAACUUCAAAUUAUUCUAGAUAAGAUUCAAAAAAAUGAACAAUGCAAGCACAUUAGUUCCAAAUAGGAUAUAGGAAUGUAAGCCUGUUGGAAACAUCUGACCUUGAUCAGAGUGGGCUUGUCUUUGACAGCCUUUGCUUCCUUGAUUGCAGCGCGAAUUUCAUCAUAGCCAGUGUUUCCAUUCUUGACCCAGAUAACAUGCCACCCUAGCCCCUCAAAACGUGUUUCAACAUUCUCAGUAAACGCAAUUUCAGUGUCACCAUCAAUCGAAAUGUGGUUGUCAUCAUAGAAAGCUAUAAGCUUUCCAAGUCCCCAGUGUCCAGCAAGUGAACAAGCUUCAUUUGAAAUACCCUCCAUUUGACAACCAUCUCCCAAGAUAACAUAUCUAGGAAAACAAAGGCUAAUACAUCAGUACGGAUCAAGCAUGCAGACGAAAGAAAAGAGGGACCUAGAAAGUAAUCAUCAUACGUGUAGUGAUCAACAAUCUCAUUGUCUGGCUUGUUGAAUCUAGCAGCCAAGUGUUUCUCAGCAAGAGCCAAUCCAACAGCAUUUGCAAUACCCUGACCAAGAGGCCCUGGGGAAAAAAAAAAGCCACAUUUAAAUACAUAUAUUUGCUUUAUGUUUAGUAUGAUAUUAUCAAAAAAAUUACGAUCAGUUCAGCAGAGGAGUCUUACUAACCAGUUGUGACUUCAACUCCUGGUGUUUCAAAGUUCUCGGGAUGUCCAGGGGUUCUGCUUCCCCACUGACGGAAACUCUUCAAAUCUUCUUCCUAAAGGAUAAUCCAUGAUUAUGAAUUUUGAUCAUUUCCCAAAAAACCAAAGCUCUCAAAAUAGAAAUUACUUAAAAGGAAAGAGAGAAUAUGAAAGAAGCUUGCCAGGACACUGUCGUAACCAGCGAGGUGAAGCAGAGCAUACUGCAACAUACAACCAUGACCAGCGGACAGAAUGAAACGGUCACGGUUGAACCAGUAAGGGUUCUUGGGGUUAUACCUCAUGACUUCAUCGUACAAAAUGUGACCCAUGGGAGCACAGCCCAUGGGCAACCCAGGAUGACCUGAAUUCGCCUUCUCGACCGCAUCAAUAGACAAGAAUCUGAUGGUGUUGACGGAUUUCUCGACCAAGGAAGUCUCGGCGGCGGUGCCAAUUGUUUCGACGGCAGCAGCACGGACCUGGCGCUUGUGGUUGGAGCGGGAGGGAAGGCGUCGACGGGAAGAGGAAGCGCGAGGGAUAGAAGAUUUGAGGCCAGAGAAACCGGGAAAAGAGAGAGUGGAGAGGGAGGGGCGGUGGUCGGAGGAUUGGGCGGAGGCAUGGGAAGAGAUAGCGCGAGAGAGGAGGGCUUGAGAUAGGGUGACAGAUGAAGUAGAGGCCAUUGUUGAUUGAGAGGGUGAGGAUAGUGAAGGGACCCCUCUUUGUUUGAUAAAUGUAGAGUUAGGCAAAGUAUAAUAGCCACCAACUCUCUUUGAUCUUCUCGUCUACACAAAGGGACAAAUAGUGUGAGCUGACCGUUAGAUUCCAACAUCCCUUAUAUCUCCACCAUUGCUUGUGGGUAACGAUUUCAGAUCGCUCUCUCUGCCUUUCAUUCUUUUUUCUUUUUUUACUAAAAGAUAUUCUGGAGAAAUAAAUUCUUAAACUUUAGGCCACUGAUGGAAAAUUCUGCACUCCUUGCUGCAUUAUUCAUGCAAUCAAAUCCACAUGUGCAGUUACGCAUGCCAAGUAAACACAGACGGGAACUUCAUCUAAAACAGCUCUGUAUGUUGUAGAAAUUCCAUAAAUGCAAAGGUACAAAUAUAAACAAUAACAAUAUAUCUAUAAGUAAUGUUUUUUUAACCGGAUCGAUGGUCGAACUAGUCAAGCCACUAAUUUAUUUGUCUGAUUAAAAUAUUAUUAAAAAGAUUAAAAAUUUUGGUUCAAUCGUCAGUUUAACCGAUUCAAAUCCAUCGGAUUUUUAAUCGAUUCAACUGGUUCGUAUUAAUUCCUAAUCUAAUUGGUUCAAAGUCAUUUUUCAAACCGAUUGGUUCGGUCUGAUUCAAAUAACAUUAUCUAUAAGGUUAUUAUUUUUUAACUUUGAUAUUGUGAUUUUUUUUGUCAUUUAUCCAUAUAGGUUUUUUUCCAAAAGUUAUUCUUAAAUAUAUUUUUAGGGUAUCUUGAUAUUACAAAUGUCGAGUUUGGUUGUAAGUCUCGAAUAGCAUGAGCAAAAUUUGUCACAUUCGAUCUAGUAGAUUCAGGUUAGUGGACCAGGUGUCCAAAUUGGAUCUCAAAACUAAUUUCAAAAAUUGUGGUCUAAGAUUAGGUUCGGUAAUUUGGGAUUAAGUAAUCAGAAAUAAUUUUUCCUUAAAACAGUUUUCAAAAAUAAGUUUGGAUUUAAGAAUAAUUAAGAAAAAAAAAUUUAAUUAAAAGAGGGUUAAUUUGUAAAAAAUGUCAAAUUUAAGAGUUGCCCAAAAAAAAUUAUACCAAAGAUUUGAAAAUCAGUUUUGUUCCCAUGACUAUAAAACCAACUCACCUUUUUCUUCCGUCAUUCUCUCCAUUUUAAAAAUUUGCCAAACAAAAAUCUGCACAUUUUCUCUCCAAAACAACUAACCUCCUUGAUUUUCUCUUCUGCCAAAAACAAAAUUUCCUCUCAAUUCUCGAGAAAACUCUCAAAAUCUUCACCAAUUCUCUCAUUCUUUUCUAGUUCAUUUUUCUUUUCCAAUCAAGGUGAGAUUCUGUUUCUUGACUAUACUUCCAUGCAUGUUGCUUUUUCAAAUCAAGAUUUGAUCAUCUAAAAUGAGAUUUCUAUGGAUCUAAAGAUUUAAGUCGAAAUUGAGAUCUAAAAUGGUGAAAUUAGUAUUUCCAAGCUAAACUUUAAUUUCUAAAUGAUUUCCAUCUUAUUUUGAUAUGAUUAAGAGAUUUAUAAUCUUAUUUUAGCAAAUCGUUACGAGAUUUUAAAGAUUUGAUGGUUUUCCCUCUUAAAUGUUCAUAUGUGAUGAUUUUCCAGAAAACUUAAUCUGAGAUUUUAAGUGUUCUAAGUGGUUAGGAUCUAUUCUAAAAUGAUUAUUAAGAUUAUUAGAAUCAGGUUUAAGCAAUGGGAACAAGUAUUGAUCAAGAUAUCUAAGAUUUCAAUAAAUUUAGUUAAAUUUUCGGCUUAUGAGAAGGUAGUCUGGACCUGCAUUUUUGUUAAGUUUUUGAUGUGUUUGUGGUUGUUAAUGAUCAUAUUGUGUUAUGUUUAAUGUGUUUGUAAAGUUUCAAAUCCAACAGAGCCCUCUACGAGUAAGGCGAAGCUUGUU
rnacentral:lncRNA from 1 species